GGUUAAGCGACUAAGCGUACACGGUGGAUGCCCUGGCAGUCAGAGGCGAUGAAGGACGUGCUAAUCUGCGAUAAGCGCCGGUAAGGUGAUAUGAACCGUUAUAACCGGCGAUUUCCGAAUGGGGAAACCCAGUGUGAUUCGUCACACUAUCAUUAACUGAAUCCAUAGGUUAAUGAGGCGAACCGGGGGAACUGAAACAUCUAAGUACCCCGAGGAAAAGAAAUCAACCGAGAUUCCCCCAGUAGCGGCGAGCGAACGGGGAGGAGCCCAGAGCCUGAAUCAGCAUGUGUGUUAGUGGAAGCGUCUGGAAAGGCGCGCGAUACAGGGUGACAGCCCCGUACACAAAAGCGCAUGUGCUGUGAGCUCGAUGAGUAGGGCGGGACACGUGGUAUCCUGUCUGAAUAUGGGGGGACCAUCCUCCAAGGCUAAAUACUCCUGACUGACCGAUAGUGAACCAGUACCGUGAGGGAAAGGCGAAAAGAACCCCGGCGAGGGGAGUGAAAAAGAACCUGAAACCGUGUACGUACAAGCAGUAGGAGCACAGGUUUACCUGUGUGACUGCGUACCUUUUGUAUAAUGGGUCAGCGACUUAUAUUCUGUAGCAAGGUUAACCGAAUAGGGGAGCCGCAGGGAAACCGAGUCUUAACCGGGCGUUAAGUUGCAGGGUAUAGACCCGAAACCCGGUGAUCUAGCCAUGGGCAGGUUGAAGGUUGGGUAACACUAACUGGAGGACCGAACCGACUAAUGUUGAAAAAUUAGCGGAUGACCUGUGGCUGGGGGUGAAAGGCCAAUCAAACCGGGAGAUAGCUGGUUCUCCCCGAAAGCUAUUUAGGUAGCGCCUCGUGAACUCAUCUCCGGGGGUAGAGCACUGUUUCGGCUAGGGGGCCAUCCCGGCUUACCAACCCGAUGCAAACUGCGAAUACCGGAGAAUGUUAUCACGGGAGACACACGGCGGGUGCUAACGUCCGUCGUGAAGAGGGAAACAACCCAGACCGCCAGCUAAGGUCCCAAAGUCAUGGUUAAGUGGGAAACGAUGUGGGAAGGCCCAGACAGCCAGGAUGUUGGCUUAGAAGCAGCCAUCAUUUAAAGAAAGCGUAAUAGCUCACUGGUCGAGUCGGCCUGCGCGGAAGAUGUAACGGGGCUAAACCAUGCACCGAAGCUGCGGCAGCGAACGUAUCACUUAAAGCGAUUCAGCGGGUUACGAUUGACGGAGCGAAGCGACGUCAAAGCGUAUACAAAGUCGAGUCGGUUUAAGGAUACGUUCGUUGGGUAGGGGAGCGUUCUGUAAGCCUGUGAAGGUGUGUCGUGAGGCAUGCUGGAGGUAUCAGAAGUGCGAAUGCUGACAUAAGUAACGAUAAAGCGGGUGAAAAGCCCGCUCGCCGGAAGACCAAGGGUUCCUGUCCAACGUUAAUCGGGGCAGGGUGAGUCGACCCCUAAGGCGAGGCCGAAAGGCGUAGUCGAUGGGAAACGGGUUAAUAUUCCCGUACUUGGUGUUACUGCGAAGGGGGGACGGAGAAGGCUAUGUUGGCCGGGCGACGGUUGUCCCGGUUUAAGCGUGUAGGUGUGUGUUCCAGGUAAAUCCGGUUCACUUUAACACUGAGGCGUGACGACGAGGCACUACGGUGCUGAAGCAACAAAUGCCCUGCUUCCAGGAAAAGCCUCUAAGCAUCAGGUAACAUCAAAUCGUACCCCAAACCGACACAGGUGGUCAGGUAGAGAAUACCAAGGCGCUUGAGAGAACUCGGGUGAAGGAACUAGGCAAAAUGGUGCCGUAACUUCGGGAGAAGGCACGCUGACAUGUAGGUGAAGUGAUUUACUCA
rnacentral:rRNA from 1 species